AGUGAACGCUGGCGGUAGGCCUAACACAUGCAAGUCGAACGGCAGCACAGUAAGAGCUUGCUCUUACGGGUGGCGAGUGGCGGACGGGUGAGGAAUACAUCGGAAUCUACUUUUUCGUGGGGGAUAACGUAGGGAAACUUACGCUAAUACCGCAUACGACCUACGGGUGAAAUCAGGGGAUCUUCGGACCUUGCGCGAUUGAUUGAGCUGAUGUCGGAUUAGCUAGUUGGCGGGGUAAAGGCCCACCAAGGCGACGAUCCGUAGCUGGUCUGAGAGGAUGAUCAGCCACACUGGAACUGAGACACGGUCCAGACUCCUACGGGAGGCAGCAGUGGGGAAUAUUGGACAAUGGGCGCAAGCCUGAUCCAGCCAUACCGCGUGGGUGAAGAAGGCCUUCGGGUUGUAAAGCCCUUUUGUUGGGAAAGAAAAGCAGCAGGUUAAUACCCCGCUGUUCUGACGGUACCCAAAGAAUAAGCACCGGCUAACUUCGUG
rnacentral:rRNA from 1 species